AUGAACGCUGGCGGCGUGCCUAAUACAUGCAAGUCGAGCGAACGGACGAGAAGCUUGCUUCUCUGAUGUUAGCGGCGGACGGGUGAGUAACACGUGGAUAACCUACCUAUAAGACUGGGAUAACUUCGGGAAACCGGAGCUAAUACCGGAUAAUAUUUUGAACCGCAUGGUUCAAAAGUGAAAGACGGUCUUGCUGUCACUUAUAGAUGGAUCCGCGCUGCAUUAGCUAGUUGGUAAGGUAACGGCUUACCAAGGCAACGAUGCAUAGCCGGCCUGAGAGGGUGAUCGGCCACACUGGAACUGAGACACGGUCCAGACUCCUACGGGAGGCAGCAGUAGGGAAUCUUCCGCAAAGGGCGAAAGCCUGACGGAGCAACGCCGCGUGAGUGAUGAAGGUCUUCGGAUCGUAAAACUCUGUUAUUAGGGAAGAACAUAUGUGUAAGUAACUGUGCACAUCUUGACGGUACCUAAUCAGAAAGCCACGGCUAACUACGUG
rnacentral:rRNA from 1 species